UAGGGAAUCUUGCGCAAUGGGCGAAAGCCUGACGCAGCCAUGCCGCGUGAAUGAUGAAGGUCUUAGGAUUGUAAAAUUCUUUCACCGGGGAAGAUAAUGACGGUACCCGGAGAAGAAGCCCCGGCUAACUUCGUGCCAGCAGCCGCGGUAAUACGAAGGGGGCUAGCGUUGCUCGGAAUUACUGGGCGUAAAGGGCGCGUAGGCGGAUAUUUAAGUUGGGGGUGAAAGCCCGGGGCUCAACCUCGGAAUAGCCUUCAAUACUGGAUAUCUUGAGUUCGGGAGAGGUGAGUGGAAUGCCGAGUGUAGAGGUGAAAUUCGUAGAUAUUCGGCGGAACACCAGUGGCGAAGGCGACUCACUGGCCCGAUACUGACGCUGAGGCGCGAAAGCGUGGGGAGCAAACAGGAUUAGAUACCCUGGUAGUCCACGCCGUAAAACGAUGAGUGCUAGUUGUCGGCAUGCAUGCAUGUCGGUGACGCAGCUAACGCAUUAAAGCACUCCGCCUGGGGAGUACGGUCGCAAGAUUAAAACUCGAAAUGAAUUGACGGGGGUCAUAGCUGUUCU
rnacentral:rRNA from 1 species